rnacentral:rRNA from 1 species
AUGGAGGAGGCCAAGAGGAGGCCGCGCGGCGUGCUGGACCUGGAGGCUCAGUUCGCCUUCUUCCGUUCGCAGCACCGGCACCCGGUCAACGCCGCCGCGCACGCGCUGCUCGCGGGCCCCAUCCUCUUCGGCAACCUGCUCAUCCUCUACUUCCUGCCCCUGCCCUCCCCGCUCGACCCGGCCCUCGCCCUCUCCCUCGCCUACGCCGCCUCCUACCUCGCCGUCGACCGCCGCGCCGGGGCCCUCGCCGCGCUCCUCCUCCUCGGCGCCUGGGCCGCCAGCCGCGCCCUCGCCGCCCGGCUCGGCUUCGCGCUCGCGUGGAAGGUCGUGCUGGCCACGGAGCUCUUCUGCUGGACCUGGCAGUUCCUCGGCCAUGGACUCUUCGAGAAAGGCCCAACGGUGAGUGAACUUCCGGCGGUGUUCCUGAUGGAGCCAUUCCUCAUCCUACUGCAGAUACUCAACAAGCUGUUUGGCUACGAGCCAUACCCUGGAUUCAGCAAGAACGUGGAUAAGAAGAUGGAGGCCGAUCUCAGGGAGAGCAGAGAGCUCGAGCAGAGGAAGAUCAACUAA